GCGGGAAUAACUCAGUUGGUAGAGUGUAACCUUGCCAAGGUUAAUGUCGCGAGUUCGAGCCUCGUUUCCCGCUCCA
rnacentral:tRNA from 1 species